rnacentral:rRNA from 1 species
GAUGAACGCUGGCGGCGUGCCUAAUACAUGCAAGUCGAGCGAACAGACGAGGAGCUUGCUCCUCUGACGUUAGCGGCGGACGGGCGAGUAACACGUGGAUAACCUACCUAUAAGACUGGGAUAACUUUGGGAAACCGGAGCUAAUACCGGAUAAUAUAUUGAACCGCAUGGUUCAAUAGUGAAAGACGGUUUUGCUGUCACUUAUAGAUGGAUCCGCGCCGCAUUAGCUAGUUGGUAAGGUAACGGCUUACCAAGGCAACGAUGCGUAGCCGACCUGAGAGGGUGAUCGGCCACACUGGAACUGAGACACGGUCCAGACUCCUACGGGAGGCAGCAGUAGGGAAUCUUCCGCAAUGGGCGAAAGCCUGACGGAGCAACGCCGCGUGAGUGAUGAAGGUCUUCGGAUCGUAAAACUCUGUUAUUAGGGAAGAACAAAUGUGUAAGUAACUAUGCACGUCUUGACGGUACCUAAUCAGAAAGCCACGGCUAACUACGU